ACGAAGUUUUUCGGAACUUAGUGGCGGACGGGUGAGUAACGCGUGAGAAUCUGCCUUAAGGAUUGGGACAACAGUGGGAAACCGCUGCUAAUACCAAAUAUGCCUUUUAGUGAAACGGGUAAAACCGCCUUAAGAUGAGCUCGCGUCUGAUUAGCUAGUUGGUGUGGUAAGAGCGCACCAAGGCAACGAUCAGUAGCUGGUCUGAGAGGACGACCAGCCACACUGGGACUGAGACACGGCCCAGACUCCUACGGGAGGCAGCAGUGAGGAAUUUUCCGCAAUGGGCGAAAGCCUGACGGAGCAAUACCGCGUGAGGGAGGAAGGUUCUUGGAUUGUAAACCUCUUUUCUCAGAGAAGAAUAAUGACGGUAUCUGAGGAAUAAGCAUCGGCUAACUCCGUGCCAACAGCCGCGGUAAUACGGAGGAUGCAAGCGUUAUCCGGAAUGAUUGGGCGUAAAGGGUCUGUAGGUGGUUGUUCAAGUCUGCUGUUAAAGCGUCUGGCUUAACCAGAUAAAGGCGGUGGAAACUGAACGACUAGAGUGCGGUAGGGGUAGAGGGAAUUCCCAGUGUAGCGGUGAAAUGCGUAGAUAUUGGGAAGAACACCUGUGGCGAAAGCGCUCUACUGGACCGCGACUGACACUGAUGGACGAAAGCUAGGGGAGCGAAUGGGAUUAGAUAC
rnacentral:rRNA from 1 species